UACGUAGGGCGCAAGCGUUUGUCCGGAAUUAUUGGGCGUAAAGAGCUCGUAGGUGGUUUGUCGCGUCUGCCGUGAAAGCCCGGGGCUUAACUCCGGGUCUGCGGUGGAUACGGGCAGACUAGAGGCAGGUAGGGGAGAACGGAAUUCCCGGUGUAGCGGUGAAAUGCGCAGAGAUCGGGAGGAACACCCGUAGCGAAGGCGGCGCUCUGGGCCGGUACUGACGCUGAGGAGCGAAAGCGUGGGGAGCAAACAGG
rnacentral:rRNA from 1 species